UAGGGANNCNUNNNNAAUGGGGGCNNNCCUGANCGAGCAACGCCGCGUGAGUGAAGAAGGUUUUCGGAUCGUAAAGCUCUGUUGUAAGUCAAGAACGAGUGUGAGAGUGGAAAGUUCACACUGUGACGGUAGCUUACCAGAAAGGGACGGCUAACUACGUGCCAGCAGCCGCGGUAAUACGUAGGUCCCGAGCGUUGUCCGGAUUUAUUGGGCGUAAAGCGAGCGCAGGCGGUUUGAUAAGUCUGAAGUUAAAGGCUGUGGCUCAACCAUAGUUCGCUUUGGAAACUGUCAAACUUGAGUGCAGAAGGGGAGAGUGGAAUUCCAUGUGUAGCGGUGAAAUGCGUAGAUAUAUGGAGGAACACCGGUGGCGAAAGCGGCUCUCUGGUCUGUAACUGACGCUGAGGCUCGAAAGCGUGGGGAGCGAACAGGAUUAGAUACCCUGGUAGUCCACGCCGUAAACGAUGAGUGCUAGGUGUUGGAUCCUUUCCGGGAUUCAGUGCCGCAGCUAACGCAUUAAGCACUCCGCCUGGGGAGUACGACCGCAAGGUUG
rnacentral:rRNA from 1 species